CUGGGAAGGUAAUGCGACUCUGAUGACUCGGCUUGUAGGAGCAAAACGUGGGAAAUAUUUAUCGAGUGAACAUAUGCGCACUCUCCAAUACCAACAUUCGACAUCCAUACUCCCUCUUGGUCCUUAUCGAUGAUUCGAAUGUUAAGAUCAAUUGGCAAUAAGUUUUUCACUUCUAGGAGCGCAGAAAUCGUAAUAUGCAUAAAAGGAUAAUGGUUGGAUAUAGUUUGACUUUUAAGUUCUGCAUUAGCGGCAAAACGACACGCAGGAGUCGAGAAGGUGUUAUCUGAAUGUUGGCAUGUCACAAGGCUCUGUUUGUUGUCAACUAGAUCUUUCCAAGAUAUAGCUUCCGAAGUCCAAUUAAAUUUAAAUUCUGAAACCGGUCUAAUGUGAAUUGAAUAAUAAUAAGCAGUUUCAAUUGGCAAAGAGCAACUCUCUUCAGGGCUCAUGUGGUAUAUCUGUGACCUUUGAAUGCCAUCUGAGUCGCAAAAAACUACAUCUAUUUCCAUUUGGGUCUCAUUUAUCAAUAAAAGUGGGGAACGUAGAGUGAUAUGUUUAAUAUAAUCUUCUCCCAAAUUGACAUCAACUACCAUAUAAUGCUUUAGCUCGUCUUGAUCAUAGGAAAUUAAGGGAUAUAUAUGCUCUCCUACACGAUUAACUCGUACAUGUCGUAAAGACUCCCAUUUACUGUUUUCGAAAUGGAACCCUAUAUAAGAUCUAUCCUGAUCUUGUUUAACCACAUCCUGCAUUUGUCUCCAUUCUUCAAAUUUCCAGUCGGUUUCUUCGUUAUUUUCGAGAUGUCUAACGCAAGAAUCUGCAGCAUUUUCAAAAUCUGCCCAAACACUAACAGCAUGUCCUGUGUAGUUGUGAAUACGAUAAGGUGCGUCACAUUUGAAUUCAAUAGGAAAUGGAGUACUGAUAACUUUGGUGAAACCAAAAUGUAGAGUCUCAAUUAACUGAGGAGUAAUAACCAGAUCUAAUUUCUCUCUCGAAAAAACAUGUACCGCAGUCUUCGAUGUGUUUGGAUUCCUAGAAAUAUGUACACCUACUUUCCAGGGCUCUAAAAAGGGCUCCCAAUGAGAGUUAGAGAAGUUAUAAAAAUUCAUAAAAAGCUCCAAAUGUGCAUUUGAAUUUAACUCGGAAGACCAAUCGUUAAGAUCUACCUGAAAAGGCUUAAUGUUAAUAUUUAAAAGUGGAAGAUCAUGUAGUUGACUAAUAACCAAUAGUCGAAUACCGUCAACUGUUAAUAAAAAUUCUUCCUUGCAUAUACGUAUUCCAAAAACAGAAGAAGGCUGACCGGUGUCUACUGACAAUUGAAGAAAAUCGGGAUUCGUCGCUAGUUGAUCAUCCUUCGUUCUCUUCAGCAAUUCAACAUCGGUUGUGGGGACAUCGUAUAGGGCAUAAUAAAAAUUAUAUAUCUUACGUAAAAUAGUUUGGAGGAACAGAAAGUCGUUCACUGUAGUCCUUAAGACAAACGAAUCAAAAUCAAGAGUGAUGUUGGUGAUUAUCUGAAUUUUGUUGACGGUAUGCUGCGAAUAUGUGUAACGAAAUCCAAAAGGGUCUGCUAACUGAUUAGAUAUAUUGGCCGUCUCGCUGAGAGGACAAGCAUUAAUCUUCAUGUUGUUAGCAGUAACCGCAAAGAUCGAUUGUUGGGUAAUUAAUA